UACGGAGGGUGCGAGCGUUGUCCGGAAUCACUGGGCGUAAAGGGCGCGUAGGCGGCUUGGGAAGUCCGUGGUGAAAGCCCGAGGCUCAACUUCGGGUCGGCCAUGGAUACUCCUAAGCUCGAGUCGACUAGAGGCUAAUGGAAUUCCGGGUGUAGCGGUGGAAUGCGUAGAGAUCCGGAAGAACACCGGUGGCGAAGGCGGUCUGCUGGGCAGUAGCUGACACUGAGGCGCGACAGCGUGGGGAGCAAACAGG
rnacentral:rRNA from 1 species